rnacentral:rRNA from 1 species
UGAGGAAUAUUGGACAAUGGGUGAGAGCCUGAUCCAGCCAUCCCGCGUGCAGGAAGAAUGCCUUAUGGGUUGUAAACUGCUUUUAUACAGGAAUAAACCACUUUACGUGUAAGGUGUUGAAGGUACUGUAUGAAUAAGCAUCGGCUAACUCCGUGCCAGCAGCCGCGGUAAUACGGAGGAUGCAAGCGUUAUCCGGAUUUAUUGGGUUUAAAGGGUCCGUAGGCGGGCAUAUAAGUCAGAGGUGAAAUCCGACAGCUUAACUGUCGAACUGCCUUUGAAACUGUAUGUCUUGAGUGAGAUUGAAGCAGCUGGAAUGUGUAGUGUAGCGGUGAAAUGCAUAGAUAUUACACAGAACACCGAUAGCGAAGGCAGGUUGCUAAGUCUUUACUGACGCUGAUGGACGAAAGCGUGGGGAGCAAACAG